UGUUCGUAUUGUUGUGUAUUCUUCAAUGUCCAUUCUUUCGUCAUGGUCAAGUUUAAAAACCACCAAACCGUAUACGUGUCCAGGAGUAGUUUAUUCGCCACUCGCCCGAUCCGUUUCGAAAUUACUAUUAAAUCGUUUGAUUUCACAAUGGUGUUAAGAACAUUCUCUCCGGUAAUAACCCUCGGAAAACAAUAUUCCUUCCUGCGCCAGCGAUUACGGCGAGGAUACACAGUGUGUUCCACGAACAUCUGACAAACGCAGUAGCUUUUGUUCCACUCGACACUUUUAAAUUUCUCUUUUUCGUGAUAAUCACGGCCACGGGCUUGAUCUCUGUAUUAUAAAUCGUGUUUU